rnacentral:tRNA from 1 species
GUGCCCGUAGCUCAGCGGAAAGAGCACCUGUCUACGAAGCAGGGGGCCGGAGGUUCGAAUCCUCCCGGGCACACCA